rnacentral:rRNA from 1 species
AAUCAACGCUGGUGGCGUGCCUCAGACAUGCAAGUCGAACGCGAAAGGGGGCUUCGGUUCCUGAGUAGAGUGGCGUCCGGGUGAGUAACACGUAGGUAAUCUACCUUUGGGUGGGGAAUAACAGUCGGAAACGGCUGCUAAUACCGCAUAAUGCAGCGGCUCGGAAUCGAGACAGUUGUUAAAGCGGGGGAUCUCGCAAGAGACCUCGUGCCUGAAGAGGAGCCUGCGGCAGAUUAGCUAGUUGGUGAGGUAAAGGCUCACCAAGGCGACGAUCUGUAGCCGGCCUGAGAGGGCGGUCGGCCACACUGACACUGACAUACGGGUCAGACUCCUACGGGAGGCAGCAGUCGGGAAUUUUGGGCAAUGGCGAAAGCCUGACCCAGCAACGCCGCGUGAAGGAUGAAAUCUUUCGGAUGUAAACUUCGCAAGAAUGGGAAGAAUAAGUGAGGGCUAAUAUCUUUCAUGAUGACGGUACC